rnacentral:rRNA from 1 species
CUANGGAUCGUAAACCUCUUUUAUAAGGGAAUAAAGUGUGGGACGUGUCCUAUUUUGUAUGUACCUUAUGAAUAAGGAUCGGCUAACUCCGUGCCAGCAGCCGCGGUAAUACGGAGGAUCCGAGCGUUAUCCGGAUUUAUUGGGUUUAAAGGGUGCGUAGGCGGCCUUUUAAGUCAGCGGUGAAAGUCUGUGGCUCAACCAUAGAAUUGCCGUUGAAACUGGGGGGCUUGAGUAUGUUUGAGGCAGGCGGAAUGCGUGGUGUAGCGGUGAAAUGCUUAGAUAUCACGCAGAACCCCGAUUGCGAAGGCAGCCUGCCAAGCCAUGACUGACGCUGAUGCACGAAAGCGUGGGGAUCAAAC